AAAGACUGACGCUCAUGCACGAAAGCGUGGGGAUCAAACAGGAUUAGAUACCCUGGUAGUCCACGCUGUAAACGAUGAUCACUCGUUGUUGGCGAUAUACUGUCAGCGACUGAGCGAAAGCAUUAAGUGAUCCACCUGGGGAGUACGGCGGCAACGUUGAAACUCAAAGGAAUUGACGGGGGCCCGCACAAGCGGAGGAGCAUGUGGUUUAAUUCGAUGAUACGCGAGGAACCUUACCUGGGCUUAAAUGCAGAACGACGUUUCGUGAAAGCGGAAUUUCCUUCGGGACGUUUCGCAAGGUGCUGCAUGGUUGUCGUCAGCUCGUGCCGUGAGGUGUCGGGUUAAGUCCCAUAACGAGCGCAACCCUUAUCAUUAGUUGCCAUCAGGUCAUGCUGGGAACUCUAAUGAAACUGCCUACGCAAGUAGUGAGGAAGGUGGGGAUGACGUCAAAUCAGCACGGCCCUUAUGUCCAGGGCGACACACGUGCUACAAUGGCCAGUACAGAGGGUUGCAAA
rnacentral:rRNA from 1 species